rnacentral:lncRNA from 1 species
CACGCACGUCUUUCUUCUUUUCUCCCGUUGGCGCGUGAGGGCAAAAGCCGUGUCUGUGCCACCCACGGCAUCUGCCCCAAAUCACACAUUUCAGAGAGAGAGUAUUAGAGAAAGAUGAUUAACAAAAAUGUAAUAUUUGUGGCAGGCUUAUUAAUGCUUUUGUGUCAGAUUUUUCUUUUCCUUUUAGACUUGACCAAUACCAAUUUUUUUGUAUUUUCUUUGCUUCUCUUUGUCCUCUCUUCUUUUGUUGCUCAAAUUUUGAAAGUCAAAAUAAUUUACUCAUGGGACAUAUUUUAGUGAGUCAUGGUACAUGUACAACAAAUGACGGUACAUUGAUCGUUUCGUAAUGUACCCAUCGGUACUAACGAGAGUACAUGACAGUACUCAAAUCACAGAAUGAACAUCUAUCAAAAGAAGACGAGUACCUCUUCAAUACUUAGUUGUAUGUGAUGGUACUCAAAUCAAAGUACAUCAACUCAUAAUUGUACG